GAUUCUGGCUCAGAACGAACGCUGGCGGCGUGGAUAAGACAUGCAAGUCGAACGGAGAUUCUUUAGAGCUUGCUUUAAAGGGUCUUAGUGGCGAACGGGUGAGUAACACGUGAGUUACCUGCCCCGAAGUGGGAGAUAGCCCGGAGAAAUUCGGAUUAAUACCCCAUGUGAUCGAAAGAUUAAAGGCGGCGCAAGCUGUCGCUUCGGGAUGGGCUCGCGGCCUAUCAGCUAGUUGGCGGGGUAACGGCCCACCAAGGCGAUGACGGGUAGCUGAUCUGAGAGGAUGAUCAGUCACACUGGAACUGAGACACGGUCCAGACACCUACGGGUGGCAGCAGUCGAGAAUCAUUCGCAAUGGGCGAAAGCCUGACGGUGCGACGCCGCGUGGAGGAUGAAGGCCCUAGGGUCGUAAACUCCUGUCAUCAGGGAGUAAAGACUCGCGUAGUCACUGACGCGGGUCCUGAUAGUACCUGAAGAGGAAGGGACGGCAAACUUCGUGCCAGCAGCCGCGGUAAUACGAAGGUCCCAAGCGUUGUUCGGAUUUACUGGGCGUAAAGAGUCUGUAGGCGGCGGGGUAAGUCAGAUGUGAAAUCCCGGGGCUCAACCCCGGAACUGCAUCCGAUACUGCCUUGCUAGAGUAUUGGAGGGGAGCCUGGAAUUCUCGGUGUAGCAGUGAAAUGCGUAGAUAUCGAGAGGAACACUAGUGGCGAAGGCGAGGCUCUGGACAAUUACUGACGCUGAGAGACGAAGGCCAGGGGAGCGAAAAGGAUUAGAUACCCUUGUAGUCCUGGCAGUAAACGGUGCACGCUUGGUGUGGGAAGGUUCGACCCUUUCUGUGCCGGAGCUAACGCGUUAAGCGUGCCGCCUGGGGAGUACGGUCGCAAGAUUAAAACUCAAAGAAAUUGACGGGGACCCGCACAAGCGGU
rnacentral:rRNA from 1 species